GGGGUUGUGGCUCAGUGGUAGAGUGCUUGCUUAGCAUGUAUGAGGCACUGGGUUCAAUCCUCAGCACCACA
rnacentral:tRNA from 1 species